AUCUGCAAAGGGCAAACCGCGCGAAAGCGCGGGACGCAAAGUCAUCGGUCUAACGGGCGCAAGCCCCAUGACUGCAGGACUGCCAGA
rnacentral:ncRNA from 1 species